rnacentral:rRNA from 1 species
UCGCUUAGAGAUGAACUCAUGGACUAUUAGCUUGUUGGUAGGGUAAUGGCCUACCAAGGCGACGACGGGUAGGGGACCUGAGAGGGUGACCCCCCACACUGGAACUGAAACACGGACCAGACACCUACGGGUGGCAGCAGUAGGGAAUAUUGCACAAUAGGCGAAAGCCUGAUGCAGCAACGCCGCGUGCGCGAUGAAGGCCUUAGGGUUGUAAAGCGCUUUUCUGGGGGAAGAGAAAGGACGGUACCCCAGGAAUAAGUCUCGGCUAACUACGUGCCAGCAGCCGCGGUAAAACGUAGGAGGCGAGCGUUAUCCGGAUUUACUGGGCGUAAAGCGCGUGCAGGCGGUUUGGUAAGUCGGACGUGAAAGCUCCCGGCUCAACUGGGAGAGGCCGUUCGAAACUACCAGGACUAGAGGGCAGCAGAGGGAGGUGGAAUUCCAGGUGUAGCGGUGAAAUGCGUAGGUAUCUGGAGGAACACCAGUGGCGAAGGCGGCCUCCUGGACUGUCCCUGACGCUAAGACGCGAAAGCUAGGGGAGCGAACGGGAUUAGAAACCCCGGUAGUCCUAGCUGUAAACGAUGCACACUUGGUGUUGGUGGCGUA